CCUCGGGUGGCUGCAGUGGGGAAUAUUGGACAAUGGGGGCAACCCUGAUCCAGCCAUGCCGCGUGUGUGAAGAAGGCCCUCGGGUUGUAAAGCACUUUCAGUGAGGAAGAACGCCUGGUGGUUAAUACCCAUCAGGAAAGACAUCACUCACAGAAGAAGCACCGGCUAACUCCGUGCCAGCAGCCGCGGUAAUACGGAGGGUGCGAGCGUUAAUCGGAAUUACUGGGCGUAAAGCGCGCGUAGGUGGCUUGAUAAGCCGGUUGUGAAAGCCCCGGGCUCAACCUGGGAACGGCAUCCGGAACUGUCAAGCUAGAGUGCAGGAGAGGAAGGUAGAAUUCCCAGUGUAGCGGUGAAAUGCGUAGAGAUCGGGAGGAAUACCAGUGGCGAAGGCGGCCUUCUGGACUGACACUGACACUGAGGUGCGAAAGCGUGGGUAGCAAACAGGAUUAGAUACCCUAGUAGUC
rnacentral:rRNA from 1 species